UUCUCUGCGGUGUUCGCCAGUGGGAAUGUAAUAUGCCUUGUCCCUAUUGAUUGACCUCGGGACGGCGGAUUUGGAUGUGGUGAGCAUAUUCGUUUUAAAGCGAAUCGCCUAAAGCAGCCAAGAGCCGACCCACUUGAACCCAUUGGUUCAAGGUCACUGAACCACAGCGGCAUCGGCGGAG
rnacentral:other from 1 species